rnacentral:lncRNA from 1 species
AAUUGAAUUUUGGGUUAAAAGUGUCAAAUUUUGAAAGUUGAAACUGAGAAUAACAGGUUAUAGUUAAAAUUUCGAAGGAAAGAAACAAGGAUGCGGCUAGAUGAGUUGGGUAAGGCGCUGAAGGAAUGCGAGCUGGAGGUCGCGUGUUCGAUCCUCCGCAAAUCCAAAGUGCCUUCCGAUUUUUUUAAAUGCGAAGCGAGGGGGUUCUUGCGAGGCUGCGCUUGUGAGUCCGAGGUGCGAGGCCGAGUAAGGCGCUGAAGGAAUGCGAGCUGGAGGUCGCGUGUUCGAUCCUCCGCAAAUCCAAAGUGCCUUCCGAUUUUUUUAAAUGCGAAGCGAGGGGGUUCUUGCGAGGCUGCGCUUGUGAGUCCGAGGUGCGAGGCCGAGAACUCAGAAGCUGGAAGCGUGCGAGACCGAGCCGCAAACUGCUGAGCCUUAUAAUCCGAGCCGAGGUCGCAAACCUCGGGCCGAGAACUCCUCGGAAACCCUAGCUGUUGGCCGCCACCCCCUCGCAGUUUACGACCAAAAACAGUGAUUUUAGCACUUUUUUGCUCCAAAACUCG